rnacentral:ncRNA from 1 species
GUCCGGCCAAGAUACCCUGCGCGUUGCCCAUUAGACCCGUUAAAGGGUAGCGGUCGAUAUAGGUAGCAGGAUGGUGACACUGAAAUCGGAAUCCGCUCAGGGGUGCGUAACAAAUUACUGGCGGAAUCGACCGGGCCUGUAAAUGAACGGCACCACAGCAAGCAACCUAUGUCGAAC